rnacentral:ncRNA from 1 species
UAACAGGAAAUUUAAGGGCGUAUGGUGGAUGCCUUGACUUUAAGAGGCGAUGAAGGACGUGGCGUUGCUGCGAUAAGCUUCGGGGAGGUGCUUAGCUACCUUUGAUCCGGAGAUUUCCGAAUCUUUUAUCUUUAUGAUAAAAGAGCAUACCCUGGGAAGUGAAACAUCUCAGUACCAGGAGGAAUAGAGACAAAUAUGUAUUUCCUUAGUAGCGGCGAGCGAAAAGGAAGAAGCCCAAACCGUUCUCGCAAGAGGGCGGGGUUGUAAGAUGACAAUGUAGUUUACUAGGAGAGUUAAAAAAUAAAUUAUUAGUUGAAGUUGCUGGAAAGCGACACCGUAGGGGGUGAUAGUCCCGUAAACGAAAAUAAUUUAUCUCUUUUAUUGUUAUUCUUGAGUACCCCAGGACAUGAAUGGCCGGGGGGAAUCUAGCGGAACUAACCGCUAAGGCUAAAUACUCUUAAAGAUCGAUAGUGAACAAGUACCGUGAGGGAAAGGUGAAAAGCAGCCCGAUUAGGGCGGUGAAAUAGACCUGAAACCAUAUGUCUACAAGGAGUCGGAGCAGGUAUUUAUAUCUGCAACGGCGUGCCUAUUGAAGAAUGAGCCAACGAGUUUAUUCAUACUGCAAGGCUAAGCUGGCUAAAACAGCAGAGCCGAAGGGAAACCGAGUGUUAAUAGCGCGAAUGAGUAGUAUGCAUAAGACCCGAAGCCAGGUGAGCUUGCCAUGAGCAGGUUGAAGUUUGUCGAAAGACAAAUGGAGGACCGAACCGGUAGAUCGUACAACGUCUUCGGAUGACUUGUGGUAAGGAGUGAAAAGCUAAUCGAACCUGGUAAUAGCUGGUUCUCUCCGAAA